ensembl:lncRNA
GUGGCAAAAGAUAACAUAAAAUCUUUGUUGUGAAUUAGUCAGUAGGGUCUGACACAUGCUAACAAGGUUCCUGACUAGUGCCUCAGUAUUUCAGCACCUUAAGCAUGAUAAGGGCUUCCCUGGUGGCUCAGACAGUAAAGCAUCUGCCUGCAAUACAGGAGACCUGGGUUCAAUCCCUGGGUCGGGAAGAUCCCCUGGAGAAGGAAAUGGCAACCCACUCCAGUACUCUUGCCUGGAAAAUUCCAUGGACAGAGAAGCCUGGUAGGCUACAGUCCAUGGGAUCACAAAGAGUCAGACAUGACUGAGCAACUCCACUUCAAGCAUGAUAAAAUUCAGUCAACAAUAAAGUGAGUGUUUCAACUAGAAAAAAGAAUUUAAUAGUGGGAAAUCUUUACAUUUGGCCUUUAAAAGUUACUGUUAACUGAGGACCUAUUAGGUACCAAGCAUAGGACUAGGUUUCUCAGGUGAUGCUAGUGGUAAAGAACAUGUCUGCCAACGUAGGAGACAUAAGAGACGCGGGUUCAGUCCUUGGGUUGGGAAGAUCCCCUGGAGGAGGGCAUGGCAACCCACUCCAGUGUUCUUCCCUAGUGAAUCCUAUGGACAGAGAAUCCUGGUGGGCUACAGUCCAUGGGGUUGCAGAGUCAGACACUACUAAAGUGACUUAAUACAGUACUGAGAGUUAACUUUGGCAGGUUGAUAAGGAGUCCAAGCCUAAGGCCCCUUUAUGGAGGAGGUAAGCAUUCUUUUUCACAUUCUUUUGCUAUAGACAAAUAGGCCUUGUAGGCAGCAGUAUUUCUUGUUCAAGGACAUGCCUCUUUUUGAGCUUUGGAUGUAUUUUAUGGGGGAAAGUCUGGGUAAAAACUUCCACAGCCUUGGGCUCUGGAUUAACCUGUUCCUUCUGACUAAUCUAGUGCUGAUGUCAUCCCAGGAUGUAUGUUACAGGAAAGGGUCAGCAAAGUUCUCACAGCCUUAAGGUAUUUUUUGUCUAUUCUCAGAUGUAUAUAAGGCCCUACUUAAAUUAGUGAGGUGCGUACUCUUCUGCCCCCUUCUGAUAUCUAUGUCAGAAGCUUUUUCUGUCACUUUCACUUUAAAUAAAAUCUACACAAAGCUCUGAGUGACUGAGACUGUCUUUGGUCCCAGAGUUAAAUCUCCUUCGGAGACCAUGAAUCCAGCGGCACUGUUCACUGUUUACCAAUAAGCUAUCAUCUUUGGUGCUCGUCCAGGAUCUUCAAGACAAGAUAUAAAGAAGCUCUUCUUCUCAAGUUACUGAUGGUUUAAAGCAAUUUAAUGAUUUACAUCUAUGGGUAAAAUUAAAACAUUUUUCUUCUCUCUCUGCCUCGUCCCUCCGAAAUUGGAGACACUUGGGUUCUGGACAGCCUUAUCAAGGAACGCCCUGCUGCUGCUGCUGCUAAGUUGCUUCAGUCGUGUCUGACUCUGUGCGACCCCAUAGAUGGCAGCUCACCAGGCUUCCCCGUCCGUGGAAUUCUCCAGGCAAGAACACUGGAGUGGGUUGCCAUUUCCUUCUCCAAUGCAUGAAAGUGAAAAGUGAAAGUGAAGUUGCUCAAUCGUGUCCCACUCUUAGCAACCCCAUGGACUGCAGCCUACCAGGCUCCCCCAUCCCUGGGGUUCUCCAGGCAAGAACACUGGAGUGGGUUGCCAUUUCCUUCUCCAAUGCAUGAAAGUGAAAAGUGAAAGUGAAGUCGCUCAGUCGUGUCUGACUCUGGCGACCUCAUGGACUGCAGCCUCCCAGGCUCCUCCGUCCGUAGGAUUUUCCAGGCAAAAGUACUGGAGUGGGGUGCCAUUGCCUUCUCCGAGGAACACCCUUCAAGAUAUUUAUUCUUCUGUACUAUCUCUCCCACUACUUCACCAUUUUCUUCUUAGAAUGUCUCUUAAUGUCAUUUCUGAGUUUCUAUUUUCAGCUACCUUCUCACUAUUCUCCCUGGUCAGUUUCAUCCUAUCACAUGGCCUCAACUCUUACCUUUAUACAGAUGACUCCCAAAUCUACCUCUGUGUGAACUUUACUGAGCAGAGUCAGAGUUCAAAUGGUCUACUGGGCAAGUCUAUAUAAUAUUCUCCCAGAAAAAUCAUGACUCAAUAUGUUCAAAUGUGAAGUCUUACUCACACUCCUUCAUUGUUUCCUAUAUCUCCUCAUCCUCUAGCUUGAUUUCUCUAUCUCUAGAUAGUGUCACUACCAUCCUCACAUCACUCAGGCCAAAAAGUUCAUCACCUAAAACUCUCCAUAUGCCCAGUAAUUCUGCAAUGUCUCAUAUCUGUCCCUUCUCUCUAUCUUCAUAGUCCCUCCUCCUUCUGCUUCUUUUUUUUCCUCUUUUCCUCUUUCUUUGUUCUUGCUAUCAAAGUGUGACCAGUAGUCCAGCAACAUCAGCAUCAUUUGGGGAGACUAUUAGAAUGCAGAAUAUUGGGCCCCAUCUAAAGAUCUAUUCAAUCAGAAUCUGCAUUUUAACAAAAUCCGUGCUGCUGCUGCUAAGUCACUUCAGUCGUGUCCAACUCUGUGUGACCCCAUAGACGGCAGCCACCAGGCUCCCCCAUCCCUGGGAUUCUCCAGGCAAGAACACUGGAGUGGGUUGCCAUUUCCUUCUCCAAUGCAUGAAAGUGAAAAGUGAAAGUGAAGUCGCUCAGUCGUGUCCAACUCUUCGCGACCCCAUGGACUGCAGCCUACCAGGCUCCUCCAUCCAUGGGAUUUUCCAGAUUAGGUGAUUCUGAUGAACACUAAAGACUGAGAACCAGUGCUUUAAGCCAAGGUGCCAAUGAAAUCGCUGACAGUGGCAAUGGAAGCUUUGAAUCUCUUCAUCAAGUCCAGCAGAGAAGAGAAAACUCUGACCCAACAUUCCAAGUAAGUAGGACUCCCAUGGUUCUCCCUCACUGACUUGCUUAGGUCACAAGUCCUCUGAACUAAUGUUGUUUGUGGUCAGAAGAACUGAGAAUAAAAUCUGUUUACCCGCAAAUACGUGGGCUAUGAGUGGGAAGAAUAGACACAUAAAUAAAAAUCUACAACUUCUUGGGAAGGAAAAAAAUGGGGAAUGAUUACUGAGAAGGCACGAGCAACACCUACAACAUUCAAAGAAUAUCUGCAUGUUUUAUUUUGAUAUAUUCUACCAAAUUAUACAUCAAAAAAGUUGUAACAACGUCAAGCCCACCAGCAGCAUAUGAAAACAUCUAGGAUUUCUUCAUACCCUGACUUACUCUGUUUAAAUCAUACUUUAAACAUUUCCCAGUCUUAUAGAUAAAGAUGGCAUUUUAUUGUUUUGAUUUAUAUGCCUUUACUCAUGGAUGAAAUUAAACAUCUUUUCAAAUCUCUAUUGAUGUGUGCAUGUCUUUCUCUGUAGAUUACUUGCUUAUUCUUUAGCUCACUUUACUAUUGGGUUUUGUCUUUUUCAUGUUAGUUCUUCUGAAUUUGUUGUAAAUUAAAUUAGCCUUUUAUCAUAUAUGAUGCAAAUAUGUUUUCCCAGCUUUGUUGACCUUUUGAAUUUGUUUAUGGUAUUCUCCCCCACCCUCCCGCCACCAAAGCUUUAACUUUUAUGCAGUGAAAUUCAUCAGUAUUUUUCUUUACUGGAAUCUGUAUUUGGGAUUUUGCUUUAAAAGGGCCUUCCCCCAUGUCCACCUUUCCAGGUGAACAUCAGUCAAGUCUGUAAAGCUUUUAAAAAUUAAGGAUGCUGGGCCUCCACUCCAGACCUAAUAAAGCAGAUUUUUAAAAUGUGACCCUCUGUACUGGGUUGAAUAGUG